UGCCAGCCGCCGCGGUAAUACGAGGGGUGCAAGCGUUAAUCGGAAUUACUGGGCGUAAAGCGAGCGUAGGCGGUGGUAUAAGUUGGAUGUGAAAAACCGGAGCUCAACUCCGGCCGUGCAUUCAAAACUGUAUCACUAGAGUCUUGUAGAGGGGGGUAGAAUUUCAGGUGUAGCGGUGAAAUGCGUAGAGAUCUGAAGGAAUACCAGUGGCGAAGGCGGCCCCCUGGACACUGACUGACGCUGAGGUUCGAAAGCGUGGGUAGCGAACAGGAUUAGAUA
rnacentral:rRNA from 1 species